GAUCAAACCAUUUCAAAUUGUCAUUUUCAAUGGCUACUAUGGCGAGUUUGGAGUUUAAUUGGUGUAGAAAAAUCUAAAUUUCUUCCAAUUUUGAUAGAAAAUACUUAACAAUCUAGAUUAAGUUAACAUUUUUGAUCUUGAAUUUAAAAGAGUCCUAUACUCAAAUUUUAAAGAUUAUUCAAUUUUCACGUCUAUUUUGACAUAAUUUAUUUACUAAAGUAAACGAUUUCGAAAAAAAAAAAAUUUAUUCCUAAGAAUUUCAUAUACCCUAGAUCAUAUUUAACAGUGUGAUCGUGAUUUGAACACCCCAAAUCGAAAACAAGACUAUAAUACCAGAUCUCUGUAUUAUAGAUAGAUAAGUAGCCUAAUAUAUAUAUAUUAUAUAUAUAUAUAUAGUAGGUCUUGUUGUGCUACUAGGCAGUCGAGGCCUCCGUGCUCCUAAGCUGUUUUUGAUGAUGGAGUUUUCGAAUCGAAUGAUCGGCUGCUUAGACUUGAUCUAGCGUAUUUGAAGUAUCUAGAAAAUAAAUUUUGUAAUUUUUCGAUAUCAUUUACCUAGCGAUCAAAAGUGUUUCAAAAUCAAUAAUUUUUAAUGGUUGAUAGUAUACCAUUUGCAAGUUAACGAUGUAGAGUAUUCAAUCAAUAUAAAUUUUGAUAGAAAGUUUUUUUAUACUAUUUAACAAGAUUAAUAUCUCUGAUCGAAAAUUUUAGUGCUAUAUCACCAUUUUUUUGAUAUUUUUAUUUUCAGCCGUUGAUUUGCACCCUUUCGACGCGAGGUAAAUGAUAUCGAAAAUUGCAAAUUAUUUUCUAGAUACUUCAAAUACGCUAGAUCAAGUCUAACGGAGCAGAUCGUCGAUUUGGAAGCUCCAUGACCGAAAACGGCUUAGCAGCACGGAGGCCUCCGUGUUCUAAUAGCAUCAGAAGACCUACCUAAUAUAUAAUAUAAUGUAGUAUACUAUAUAUAUAUAUAUAUAUAGUAGGGCUACUAUACUCUUAUGAGUAUUGGGCCUUUCGUACUUAUAAGUUGUUUUUGAUGAUGGGGCUUCCGAAUCGACGAUCCACUCCGUUAAAUAUGAUCUAGAGUAUUUAAAACUUCUAAAAAAUAAAUUUCGUAAUUUUUCGAAAUCAUAAUAAAGUCCAUCAAACAGCCAUAAAAUGAAUGGUUAAAAUCGAACGACGUCCUAAAAAUGGAUAAUCGGAUUCUUCAAUUUAAGAUUGGAGUUAUUGAUCUUUUUCUAGAUAGUGAAUAAAAUUUUCUAUCAAAAAUUCAACCUAUUAUGAAUCUUUUUCACCAUUAAACUAGCAAGUAUUCCAUUCCGGCCGUUAAAAAUUGUCAAUUUUGUGAGCUUUUGAUCGUAAGGUAAAUGAUGUCGAAAAGUUAUAAAAUUUGAUUUCUAGAAGUUUUAAAUACUCUAAAUAUUGUUUAACGAUAUUGAUCGUCGAUUCGGAAGCUCUAUCAUCGAAAAUAACUUAUGGGUACGAGGGCGAUCGUACUCAUAAGAGUAUAGUAGCUGGACUCUAUAUAGAUAUAUAUAUUUCGAGAUUUUCGAGCCUAAUUCAAGCGAGCCCAGUAAUACCCAAACUCG
rnacentral:lncRNA from 1 species